rnacentral:rRNA from 1 species
UGGGGAAUUUUGGACAAUGGGCGAAAGCCUGAUCCAGCAAUGCCGCGUGUGUGAAGAAGGCCUUCGGGUUGUAAAGCACUUUUGUCCGGAAAGAAAUCCUUGGCUCUAAUACAGUCGGGGGAUGACGGUACCGGAAGAAUAAGCACCGGCUAACUACGUGCCAGCAGCCGCGGUAAUACGUAGGGUGCAAGCGUUAAUCGGAAUUACUGGGCGUAAAGCGUGCGCAGGCGGUUUGCUAAGACCGAUGUGAAAUCCCCGGGCUCAACCUGGGAACUGCAUUGGUGACUGGCAGGCUAGAGUAUGGCAGAGGGGGGUAGAAUUCCACGUGUAGCAGUGAAAUGCGUAGAGAUGUGGAGGAAUACCGAUGGCGAAGGCAGCCCCCUGGGCCAAUACUGACGCUCAUGCACGAAAGCGUGGGGAGCAAACAGGAUUAGAUACCCUGGUAGUCCACGCCCUAAAACGAUGUCAACUAGUUGUUGGGGAUUCAUUUCCUUAGUAACGUAGCUAACGCGUGAAGUUGACCGCCUGGGGAGUACGGUCGCAAGAUUAAAACUCAAAGGAAUUGACGGGGUCAUAGCUGUUUCC